rfam:Acanthamoeba castellanii str. Neff unplaced genomic scaffold scf7180000084472, whole genome shotgun sequence.
GCGCCGUUGGUCCAGUGGUAGGAUCGCCGCCUCCCACGCGGCGGGCCCGGGUUCAAUUCCCGGACGGCGCA